GUAGUAGCAAAUACUCUAGCGAGACCCUUGAGGGCUGAUGCGGAGAAGGGUUUCGUGUGAACAGCCGUUGCACACGAGUCAGUCGAUCCUAAGCCCUAGGAGAAAUCCGAUGUAUGGUGCCUAUGGCACCAAAGGGCGAAAGGGAAUCCGGUCCCUAUUCCGGAACCCGGUCGCGGAACCGUUUCACGUCGGGCCCCCGGCUUCGGCCGGUAGCUCGUCGGGGUAACCCAAAAUGACCCGGAGAAGCCGUCGGGAGGUCGGGGAAGAGUUGUCUUUUCUGUUUGAGCGUUCGAGUUCCCUGGAAUUGCCUAGCGCAGAGAGAGGGAAUGGAGCGCGUAGAGCACCGCAGUUGCGGCGGUGUCCCGACAUGCCCCUCGGACCUUGAAAAUCCGGGGAAGGGCCACGUGGAGGUGUCGCGCCGGAUCGUACCCAUAUCCGCAGCAGGUCUCCAAGGUGAAGAGCCUCUAGCCGAUAGAUUAAUGUAGGUAAGGGAAGUCGGCAAAUUGGAUCCGUAACUUCGGGACAAGGAU
rnacentral:rRNA from 1 species